GGUCUCGAUGACCGGAAGGGAUUCCUUCCGGUCAUCGAAAUUCAAAUCGUCUCGAUGACCGGAAGGGAUUCCUUCCGGUCAUCGAAAUU
rnacentral:miRNA from 1 species